rnacentral:rRNA from 1 species
ACGAACGCUGGCGGCGUGCCUGAUACAUGCAAGUAGAACGCUGAAGGAGGAGCUUGCUUCUCUGGAUGAGUUGCGAACGGGUGAGUAACGCGUAGGUAACCUGCCUGGUAGCGGGGGAUAACUAUUGGAAACGAUAGCUAAUACCGCAUAAUAGUAGAUGUUGCAUGACAUUUGCUUAAAAGGUGCAAUUGCAUCACUACCAGAUGGACCUGCGUUGUAUUAGCUAGUUGGUGAGGUAACGGCUCACCAAGGCAACGAUACAUAGCCGACCUGAGAGGGUGAUCGGCCACACUGGGACUGAGACACGGCCCAGACUCCUACGGGAGGCAGCAGUAGGGAAUCUUCGGCAAUGGACGGAAGUCUGACCGAGCAACGCCGCGUGAGUGAAGAAGGUUUUCGGAUCGUAAAGCUCUGUUGUAAGAGAAGAACGAGUGUGAGAGUGGAAAGUUCACACUGUGACGGUAUCUUACCAGAAAGGGACGGCUAACUACGUG